UUUGAGAAUGUCAAUGGAUACACUAGCUGC
rnacentral:piRNA from 1 species